rnacentral:rRNA from 1 species
UACAGAGGUCCCAAGCGUUGUUCGGAUUCACUGGGCGUAAAGGGUGCGUAGGCGGUCGGGUAAGUCUGAUGUGAAAUCUCACAGCUUAACUGUGAAAUUGCAUUGGAUACUAUCCGGCUCGAGGAAUGGAGGGGAGACUGGAAUACUUGGUGUAGCAGUGAAAUGCGUAGAUAUCAAGUGGAACACCAGUGGCGAAGGCGAGUCUCUGGACAUUUCCUGACGCUGAGGCACGAAAGCCAGGGGAGCAAACGGG